rnacentral:rRNA from 1 species
GAUGAACGCUGGCGGCGUGCCUAAUACAUGUAAGUCGAGCGAACGGACGAGAAGCUUGCUUCUCUGAUGUUAGCGGCGGACGGGUGAGUAACACGUGGAUAACCUACCUAUAAGACUGGGAUAACUUCGGGAAACCGGAGCUAAUACCGGAUGAUAUUUUGAACCGCAUGGUUCAAAAGUGAAAGACGGUCUUGCUGUCACUUAUAGAUGGAUCCGCGCUGCAUUAGCUAGUUGGUAAGGUAACGGCUUACCAAGGCAACGAUGCAUAGCCGACCUGAGAGGGUGAUCGGCCACACUGGAACUGAGACACGGUCCAGACUCCUACGGGAGGCAGCAGUAGGGAAUCUUCCGCAAUGGGCGAAAGCCUGACGGAGCAACGCCGCGUGAGUGAUGAAGGUCUUCGGAUCGUAAAACUCUGUUAUUAGGGAAGAACAUAUGUGUAAGUAACUGUGCACAUCUUGACGGUACCUAAUCAGAAAGCCACGGCUAACUACGUG